UCUUGCUCCUCUUUUAUUACGCACAUAGCAGUAUUACUGUCUACAAACACCUUGUGGAUCACUUGACAUCAUAUACAGAGAAACCGGCCUAGCUUUUGUCCCACACAGCUUCUUCUUAUGGCUAACGCGGACUGACACCAUGCGUGUCAACACCAACAAACUACGGUAAAAACGAGCGACGGCAGCUACAUAUGCUACGUACGUACGGUUCUCUCCCCGGACUGGAUUUGGAUUCGGUGUCGUUAAAACCUAAUGCAUGCACGCAUGCACGCAGCGAGAGGGCGGCUUGGGUUCACUUGCUGCUGCCCUUGCCGUGGCCGUAGAGGCGGAAGAGGUUGAAGGCGGAGACGAG
rnacentral:lncRNA from 1 species